rnacentral:rRNA from 1 species
UGGUGGAGUGAUUUGUCUGGUUAAUUCCGUUAACGAACGAGACCUCAGCCUACUAACUAGUUUGGUUCAUCUUCGGAUGGGCGCGAGCUUCUUAGAGGGACUAUCGGUGACUAGCCGAUGGAAGUAUGAGGCAAUAACA